CUUGAUCCUGUUCGGGAUAGCUGAUGUUCCGUUGUCGUACGCCGCUCUUGCUGCCUCCACUUCUUUCGGUAGCACCGCUUUAAGCUCCUCCUCAAAAGCUCCAAUCUUAUGGAAGAUUGAAGUCACUGCAUUCUUCUCACUCUCACCAUUGAUCAAAGCAUGAUCAACUAUAACUUGUCUUAGCUUCUGAAUCAACGGGUACGUUGCGCUACAAGGAUCAUCCGCGUAUGUGUAGACUUGUUCACGGUCCACGACUUUGAGUAAAUCCUUCUCGCAGAAGCGAGAAGGAUGAAGCUCACCAUUGACACCAGUAGUAAGAACUUUCUUGGCCACUUGAGAAACAGUGUUCUUCACAGUCUGUUUCAGAUUCUCCUCCAAAUGUCUCAAAUCCACAGCUUGACAAAUCGCAACGAGGAACGUUGUUGACAUAAGCUUGAGAAUAUCAACAGCUUCAGAAGUUUUGCGAGAUGAGAUUAGUCCCAAAGAGUUCACAUCUUGGUUAUGUUGCUCUGCUGAUUGAACAUGGCUAGUCACAGGAUUAGCUAAGUAUUGAAGCUCUGAACAAUAAGAAGCCAUUGCAAUCUCAGCUCCUUUGAAUCCAUAAUCCAAACUUGGAUUCCUCGAUGCGGUUAGAUUCGAAGGUAAACCAUUGUUGUAGAAAUCAUUCACCAGCUCUGAGAAUUGAGCAAACAUGAGUUUACCAAUUGCAGCAAUCGCCAAUCUCGUGUUAUCCAUUGAAACUCCGAUUGGUGUUCCUUGGAAGUUACCACCGUGAAUCGCCUUGUUCCUCGAUACAUCGAUCAACGGAUUAUCGUUGACGGAGUUAAUCUCACGCUCGAUCGAUUUCGUUGCGUAACGGAUUACUUCGAUUUGAGGACCUAACCAUUGAGGAGAAGUACGAAGAGCGUAACGAUCUUGUUUUGGUUUCUGUAACGGAUCCAUUUCGUGAAGCUUCUGAGCUAAUUUCAUGUAUGAGCUUCCGUCGAGGAUAUGUUCCAUUAUCGCCGCCGCUUCGAUUUGACCGGGGUGAUGUUUGAGUCUGUGAGUUAGAUGAUCGGUGAAUUCAGGUUUACCACUCAUAACCUCCGCGAAAACCGCCGACAAAAUCUCAGCCAAAACGGAGAGAACAUUCGUUUCGAAUAACACCAUUGACGCCAUUCCAGAUCCAACCGCCGUGCCAUUGACAAGCGCGAGACCUUCCUUAGGCUGGAGAUCGAAGAAUCCGGAGCUGAUUCCAGCUAAUUUGAAGGCUUCUUCAGCUGUUAAAGCUUCACCGUUGGGACCGGUAGCUUUGGAAUUGGGACGGCCGGUUAAAAUUCCGGCGAUGUAGGAAAGAGGAACGAGAUCUCCGGAGGCGGUGAUUGUACCGCGGAGUGGGAGAGAUGGAGUGAUGUUGUUGUUGAGGAAACUGGUGAUUGCUUCGAGAAUCUCGAAUCGGAUACCGGAAAAUCCUUGGAGGAGAGUGUUGAUUCGUACAAGCAUGGCGGCUCUUGUGGCGGAGUGCGGCAAUGUGUGGCUUGUUUCUUUCGUGCUUCCGAAUAUUCCGGCGUUAAGGAAUCUGUAACGAACACAAAAACAUUCAAAUUUCGUGUGGAUUAGUUAUUAAUUUUUUCAUUAAAUUAAAUCAUUAACUUUUAAUUACCCAACAAAAUAUGACCCGACCCACAUAGCUGACCCGACCCGUAUAUAUUUCCCAUGCAACGUCAUAACUUUUAAAGAAUUGUUUUCUGUGAUUUUAAUAACGUUAAUAUUCAUUAUUAGAAAAUUUAUUUUAUUGCCAUCGUAAAUUUUUUUAAAAUAAACUAAUGUCCUUUGAAUAAGAGUUUUUUAAAAUUCAUUUAAUUGGAGGAUUAAAAAAAUCUAGAAAGGAAAAUUAUAUAUCAAACUAACUAACUCCUAACAUUUUUUUUCUCCAUCCAUAUAUAUACUGCAUCCAAUUAAUAACUGCCACGUAUCUACCUAAGAAUAUACUAACAUUUAAAAUUUAAUUCAUUAUGAUUAGAGAAACAAAAGAAUAUGAUUAUUACCUAAUAAGCUCCUUCUGAAGUGCGACACCGUUUUUGGUUCUCCGAUGAGAAGUAGCACCAAAACCAGUAGUAACACCAUAACUAUCAGUGCCUUUGUUCAUACUCUCCAUAACCCAAUCACUACUCGCAUUCACACCGGCUCUAGCGGUCUCCGACAGCUCCACCUUCACACCGUUACCAAUGGUUGAGAUCGCAGCCACUUGUCCAAUGGUCAGAGUCUCACCUCCAAGAUUCACCACUGGCUUCCUAAACUCAACAACCAUUCUCUUCACUUCAUCCAAAUGGCUACCUUUCAUUUGCUC
rnacentral:lncRNA from 1 species